rnacentral:rRNA from 1 species
AGGGUUUGAUCCUGGCUCAGAACGAACGCUGGCGGCGUGGUUUAGGCAUGCAAGUCGAACGAGAAAGUAUCCUUCGGGGUGCGAGUAAAGUGGCGAAAGGGUGAGUAAUAUAUGGAUGACUUACCCUCGGGACGGGGAUAACAGCUCGAAAGGGCUGCUAAUACCCGAUAGUUUUGAUAACUUGCGGGUUAUCAGAUAAAUGGUGCUUCCGCUCGAGGAGAGGUCCAUGUCCUAUCAGCUUGUUGGUGGGGUAAUGGCCUACCAAGGCAAUAACGGGUAGCCGGACUGAGAGGUUGGCCGGUCACACUGGGACUGAGACACUGCCCAGACUCCUACGGGAGGCUGCAGUCGAGAAUCUUCCGCAAUGGGCGAAAGCCUGACGGAGCGACGCCGCGUGCAGGAAGAAGGCUUUCGGGUUGUAAACUGCUGUCACACGUUAAGAAACGUUGCGGUCUACCGCAACUUGACAAAGGCGUGAGAGGAAGUCACGGCUAACUUCGUGCCAGCAGCCGCGGUAAAACGAAGGUGGCGAGCGUUGUUCGGAAUUACUGGGCAUAAAGCGCGCGUAGGUGGUUUUGUGUGUCGAUGGUGAAAUCCUACAGCUCAACUGUAGAACUGCUAUCGAAACUACAAGGCUAGAGGACAGGAGGGGAGAGUGGAAUUCCUAGUGUAGCGGUGAAAUGCGUAGAUAUUAGGAGGAACGCCGGUGGCGAAAGCGACUCUCUGGACUGUCCCUGACACUGAGGUGCGAAAGCUAGGGGAGCAAACAGGAUUAGAUACCCUGGUAGUCCUAGCUGUAAACGAUGGGCACUAGGCAAAGGAGGUUCCGAUGCCAUCUUUGCCGUAGCUAAUGCGUUAAGUGCCCCGCCUGGGGAGUAUGGUCGCAAGGCUAAAACUCAAAGGAAUUGACGGGGGCUCACACAAGCGGUGGAGCAUGUGGUUUAAUUCGAAACAACGCGCAGAACCUUACCCGGGUUUAAAGUGCAGGGAUUAACCUCCUGAAAGGGAGGGGAUUGCCUUCGGGUGUAACCUGUACAGGUGUUGCAUGGCUGUCGUCAGCUCGUGUCGUGAGAUGUCGGGUUAAGUCCCUUAACGAGCGAAACCCUUGUCUUUAGUUGCCAGCGGGUAAUGCCGGGGACUCUAGAGAGACUGCCGUUGUUAAAACGGAGGAAGGUGGGGACGACGUCAAGUCAUCAUGGCCUUUAUGUCCGGGGCUACACACGUGCCACAAUGGCCGGUAAAAAGCGAAGCUAAGCCGUAAGGUGGAGCAAAUCGAAAAAAGCCGGUCUCAGUUCGGAUUGAGGGCUGCAACUCGCCCUCAUGAAGUCGGAAUCGCUAGUAAUCGCGGAUCAGCUACGCCGCGGUGAAUAUGUUCCUGAGCCUUGUACACACCGCCCGUCAAGCCACGAAAGCUGGUAGUACCCUAAGUCGUGAUCCUAACCCUUUACUGGGGAGGUAGCGCCUACGGUAAAACCAGUGAUUGGGACUAAGUCGAAACAAGGUA